CAGCUUGGAAUAGAUUGUGCAGCCCAAUAUCCUGAUAAUCGUCCAUCAAUGUCCGAAGUAACUAGUCGAAUUGAGGAGCUACGUCGUUCUAGCCUAGGUGAAGAUCAAGAUCUACAGCCAGAUGUAGUUGAUGUGGAUGAUAAUUCUUCUCGAUGAGUUGGCUGCAUCACCCCAGCAGGGAUUGUAAAAGGAAUUUCAUUGCUUUGUUCAUGCCCA
rnacentral:misc_RNA from 1 species